GUAGGUGAACCUGCGGAAGGAUCAUUAACACGUAUCCAACGUUAAAACAACCCUGUGAACCUUAAACGUGCUCUUGCAGCCAUGAAAGCAGCAAUCCCUGUUAAAUCAUUGUUGACCAGCUUUUGAGUCAGAGACCUCUGCCGAGUUGCAAUUGAACGCUUGCAUCAAGUGACCUGGCAUCCCCGUCAUUGGUUGUGUAAGGAUGGCGCGUAAACGAUCGUUGGAGGCCCACACGGCCGGCGACCGGGUCACCCCACAGUUGCCGACUGGGCAGCCGAUAAUACGGACGCCGUUUAAAACUUGACAACUGUUAACAAUGGAUUCUC
rnacentral:misc_RNA from 1 species